GCGGGGAAUAUUGGACAAUGGGCGAAAGCCUGAUCCAGCCAUGCCGCGUGAGUGAUGAAGGCCUUAGGGUUGUAAAGCUCUUUUGUGCGGGAAGAUAAUGACGGUACCGCAAGAAUAAGCCCCGGCUAACUUCGUGCCAGCAGCCGCGGUAAUACGAAGGGGGCUAGCGUUGCUCGGAAUCACUGGGCGUAAAGGGUGCGUAGGCGGGUCUUUAAGUCAGGGGUGAAAUCCUGGAGCUCAACUCCAGAACUGCCUUUGAUACUGAGGAGCUUGAGUUCGGGAGAGGUGAGUGGAACUGCGAGUGUAGAGGUGAAAUUCGUAGAUAUUCGCAAGAACACCAGUGGCGAAGGCGGCUCACUGGCCCGAUACUGACGCUGAGGCACGAAAGCGUGGGGAGCAAACAGGAUUAGAAACCCUUGUAGUCC
rnacentral:rRNA from 1 species